UACGUAGGGUGCGAGCGUUGUCCGGAAUUACUGGGCGUAAAGAGCUCGUAGGUGGUUUGUCGCGUCGGCCGUGAAAACUCACAACUCAAUUGUGGGCGUGCGGGCGAUACGGGCAGACUGGAGUACUGCAGGGGAGACUGGAAUUCCUGGUGUAGCGGUGGAAUGCGCAGAUAUCAGGAGGAACACCGGUGGCGAAGGCGGGUCUCUGGGCAGUAACUGACGCUGAGGAGCGAAAGCGUGGGGAGCGAACAGG
rnacentral:rRNA from 1 species